GGGCGUAUGGUCUAAUGGUAAGAUUUCUCAUAAAGGCACCCCUCUCCGCUUAUCCCCCUUGUUACUCCAGGGCUUGCAUUGGAUGGGUACUUGGAAUGUCCUCAUGAAAGACCUGGGCUCGAGCCCCAGUGUGUUCA